rnacentral:tRNA from 1 species
CAAAAGAUAGUUUAACAAAAAUUCCGGUUUUGGGGGCCGGAGAUGAAGGUUUGAGCCCUUCUCUUUUGA